rnacentral:rRNA from 1 species
ACGCUCGACACCUACGGGAGGCAGCAGUUAGGAAUAUUGGGCAAUGGAGGAAACUCUGACCCAGCAACGCCGCGUGAAGGAAGAAGGUUUUCGGAUUGUAAACUUCUGAUCUAGGGGAAGAAGGAAGUGACGGUACCCUAGGAGAAAGCCACGGCUAACUACGUGCUAGCAUCCGCGGUAAUCUGAGCGGGCUGGCAAGGC